rnacentral:misc_RNA from 1 species
AACGCACCUUGCGCCCUUUGGUAUUCCGAAGGGCAUGCCUGUUUGAGUGUCAUUAAAUUCUCAACCUUGCAAGCUUUUUUUGCUAGUGAGGCUUGGAUGUGAGGGUUUUUGCUGGCUUCCUUCAGUUGGAUGGUCUGCUCCCUUUAAAUUCAUUAGUGGAUUCCUUUGUGGAUGGUCACUUGGUGUGAUAAUUAUCUACGCCGCCUGACUCUGAUACAAGACUUGUGGGGACCUGCUUAUAACCGUCUCUUCAAGAGACAAUCUAUACAUUGACAAUUUGACCUCAAAUCAGGUAGGACUACCCGCUGAACUUAA